AUGGUAGCAAAGCUAUAGCUAGUACACAGAGUGCCCCCCCAGCCAGUGUCUGGUAAAGGCAGGCUGGAGCGAAGGACACUGUCUACGUCAGAUAAGACUUUUAUUUCCACUUUGAGCCACAGAAAGAAACAUGGUGCACAAGCAUGAAGGUGUCAUGCUCAAUGGGGGAUGUUCCUGCAGGAAUUUUUAUUUAAUUUAAUUUUACCCUUAUUUUACCAGGCAAGUUGACUGAGAAUACAUUUUCAUUUACAGCAAUGACCUGAGGGAUGAAUGAGCCAAUUGGAAGCUGGAGAUAAUUAGGUGGCUAUGAUGGCAUGAGGGCCAGAAUGGGAAUUUAGCCAGGACACCCGUUUAACGUCUCAUCCGAAAGACUGCACCAAUAGGGUGCUCGAGAGGGGGGUCUUCAUACAGGAACCAAUGGGAUGCUCGAGAGGGGGUCCAUUCCGGCAGAUGCAGGAACACCCCAAACUGCAGGCUGCAGUUGCACACUUUUGCAGCGUGUGGGUUUGGAGUGAUCUUCAAGAACACUGCAGAAAAAAGAUCCAGUUAGCCACCGAAUCACACAGGCAUCUCCUUCCCCCUACGUCGCCAAGCUGAGCAGAGACGCAAGCCGCUAAGCAGAGUGCGUACGGAACAAAAAUCAAAUGUGCCAAAUACAACAACCUUACGGGGAAGUGCUUACUUACAAGCCCUUAACCAACAAUGCAGUUCAAGAAAUAGAGUUAAGAUUUUUUUUUUAAAACAAAACAAUUCUUAAAAAUAAAAAGUAACAAUAAAAUAACAAUAACGAGGCUAUAUACAGGGGGUUCCGAUACCGAGUCAAUGUGCGGGCGUACAUGUUAGUCGAGGUAAUUUGUACGUGAAGGUAGGGAUAAAGUGACGAUGCAUAGAUAAUAAACAGCAAGUAGCAAAAUUGUGUGUCAAUGCAAAUAGUCCGGAUGGCCAUUUGAUUCAUUGUUCAGCAGUCUUAUGGCUUGGGGGUAGAAGCUGUUGAGGAGCCUUUUGGACCUAGACUUGGCGCUCCGGUAACGCUGCCGUGUGGUAGCAGAGAGAACAGUCUAUGACUUGGUUGACUGGAGUCUUUGACCAUUUUUUGGGCUUUCCUCUGACACCGCCUAGUAUAAAGGUCCUGGCUGGCAGGAAGCUCAGCCCCAGUGAUGUACUGGGACGUAUGCACUGCCCUCUGUAGCGCCUUAUGGUCGGUACCGAGCAGUUGCCAUGCCAAGGGUGAUGCAACCGGUCAGGAUGCUCUCAAUGGUGCAGCUGCAGAACUUUUUGAGGACCCAUGUCAAAACUUUCCAGUCUCCUGAGGUUCAUGCUCUACAACAUCCGCAGAGUACGACCCUGCCUCACACAGGAAGAGGCGCAGGUCCUAAUCCAGGCACUUGUCAUCUCCCGUCUGGAUUACUGCAACUCGCUGUUGGCUGGGCUCCCUGCCUGUGCCAUUAAACCCCUACAACUCAUCCAGAACGCCGCAGCCCGUCUGGUGUUCAACCUUCCCAAGUUCUCUCACGUCACCCCGCUCCUCCGCUCUCUCCACUGGCUUCCAGUUGAAGCUCGCAUCCGCUACAAGACCAUGGUGCUUGCCUACGGAGCUGUGAGGGGAACGGCACCUCAGUACCUCCAGGCUCUGAUCAGGCCCUACACCCAAACAAGGGCACUGCGUUCAUCCACCUCUGGCCUGCUCGCCUCCCUACCACUGAGGAAGUACAGUUCCCGCUCAGCCCAGUCAAAACUGUUCGCUGCUCUGGCUCCCCAAUGGUGGAACACACUCCCUCACGACGCCAGGACAGCGGAGUCAAUCACCACCUUCCGGAGACACCUGAAACCCCACCUCUUUAAGGAAUACCUAGGAUAGGAUAAAGUAAUCCUUCUCACCUCCCCCCCCCUUAAAAGAUUUAGAUGCACUAUUGUAAAGUGGCUGUUCCACUGGAUGUCAUAAGGUGAAUGCACCAAUUUGUAAGUCGCUCUGGAUAAGAGCGUCUGCUAAAUGACUUAAAUGUAAAUGUAAAUGAAAAGGUGUUGUCGUGGCCUCUUCACAACUGUUUUGGACCAUGAUGGUUCAUUGGUGAUGUGGACACCAAGGAAAAUUAAACUCUCAAACUGCUCCACUACAGCCCUGUCGAUGAGAAUGGGGGCGUGUUCAGCCCUCCUUUUCCCGUAGUCGACAAUCAGCUCCUUUGUCUUGAUCACGUUGAGGGAGAGGUUAUUAACCUGGUACCACACUGCCAGGUCAUUGACCCCUAUGGACGCUAGGCCAAUUGUGCAUCGCCCCACGGACCUCCCAGUCGCGGCCGGUUACGACAGAGCCUGGGCACGAACCCAGAGUCUCUGGUGGCGCAGCCCUUAACCACUGCGCCACCCGGGAGGCCCUACCUUUGCUUUCUUGUGCACAGGGACUAUCGUGGUCUGCUUGAAACAUGUAGGUAUUACAGACUCGGUCAGGCAGGGAGAGGUUGAAAAUAUCAGUGAAGAUACUUGCCAGUUGUUCUGCGCAUGCUCUGAGUACACUUCCUAGUAAUCCGUCUGGCCCCGCGCCCUUUUGAAUGUUGACCUGUUUAAAGGUCUUGCUCACAUCGGCUAUGGGGAGCAUGAUCACACUAUUGUCUGGAACAGCUGGUGCUCUCAUGGAUGCUUCAGUGUUGCUUGCCUCGAAGCAAGCAUGAAAGGCAUUUACCUCAUCUGGGCAGCUCGCGGCUGGGUAUCCCUUUUUAGUCCGUAAAAGUUUGCAAGCCCUGCCAUAUCUGACGAGCAUCAGAGCCGGUGUAGUACGAUUCAAUCUUAGUCCUCUAUUGACGCUUUGCCUGUUUGAUGGUUUGUCGGAGGGCAUAGAGGGAUUUCUUAUAUGCGUCUGGAUUGGAGUUCCGCUCCUUGAAAGUGGCAACUCUACACUUUUGCUCAGUGUGGAUGUUGCCUGUAAUCCAUGGCUUCUGGUUGGGAUAUGUACGUACUGUCACAGAGAGCGCAUUUGCACUUUGCCAAAUAAAUUCUAGUAAUUUGUGAAAAAUUACACAUUUAACGCGACCCACCAUUAACAUGUCCGCUAGCCACUUUGGGUUGCGACCCAUACUUUAACAAAAGGCUGAUCUAAACCAUAUUGCACUAGUGUUGCACAAUUGACUAAUGCAUUGAUUCACAAACGUGUGGAUAUUUUAAUUGUGGCCUAUUUGACUAACAGAGGCAAAAAAAAAUGCAAGUAAUAACAUAGUUAAGUUAAUAAAGGUUAUUCUUGCAGGGACUUGUGGUGUUGGAGAGCCAUUGUCUUUACACUGUACCACUCAGAGAGGGGGGUAUGUGGUGUAGAUUAGGACAUCUCUUAAAGAGAGGUUUGAAUCUAGAUCUGUCUAUUUACACUACACAAGCACUGUACCUCUCCUGGAUCUAGUUUGUGUCGUCAACGUGGUGUAAAGAGGCCCUUUGUAUUCUGAAGGAGCAGACUACCGUGGCCCCGGGAAGACAGUGGUUAACGACUGAUGUCAUAGAGGAAUACAGGGAUAAGGACAACAGGCCAGGGGCUCUACUGCCACAGUGUUUUUAGGAUGACUUAUUGGCACCUCUCAAAUUCGUAUCCAAUAACUUAACCUGGAGUACAGCAACAGCAGAAGAUACUAUGACCACUCUAGAGCAAUUUCAAGAGACAAGACACAUUUUUAGGGAGUGUGGGACAGGGAUGAAAUUUUAGCAUAUUUCCUGUGUUUUCCUGUGGUCUGUCGUUUCCCAUUAGACUCACAGUCUAACAAGCAGAGGAUCACCUAGUUCUCAGGCGGAGCGAGGGAGUGAGGGAGCAAGGGAGUGAGGGAGCGAGGAAGCGAGGCACAGAGGAGGCCAUAUGUCCAUAUUUACUGAGAGAUCAGCUGGGCUCUGGUGCUCUGCAAGGGGAAAAACACACACAGAUACACACACACAUCUGCAUUUCUCCACAAACACACACAGUCACAUGGAAAUGUAGCCAUCUGUUAGUGUGUGAACUGCAUGUUCAGUUUUGUGUGUCACUGUGUAUGUUUGCUCUGUGUAUCAGUUUAGGGCUUUUGUAUGUGUGUGUAGAGCUUGUUUGACUUUAGACUAGGAGGGCUGUGUUAAAAGGGGAAUGCACUUUGUGUGUGUUGAUUUCUGGGGGGCUGGGUGAGUGUUAUUGUAAACUGAGGGCUUGCUGCUGGUGACACACUAACCCACUGGCAGGAAGUAGGAGGAGCAUGUGCAGUGAUAAGCUGAUUAGGGACAAGGGGCAGAUGGGGUCUCUGUCUCGUCUCCUAAAGCCUUUUAAAAGCUCAAAUGUGAAACCAUCUCUAUUAUUUUUUUAAAAUUUAACUAGGCAAGUCAGUUACAAAUUCUUAUUUACAAUGACGAUCUACCUCAGCCAAACACAGAUGGCACUGGGCCAAUUGUGCACUGCCCUAUGGGACUCAGAUGUGAUACAGCCUGGAUUCAAACCAGGUACUGUAGUGACACCUUUAGCGCUGAGAAGCAGUGCCUUAGACUGCUGCGCCACUCAGGAGAUUUAGACUAGGUGAAAGGGCAGAAUGAGUGUUGGUUGAGCAGGGGAGACAGGUAUGGAGAUAAUUUGUAUUUUAAUUUUUUAUUUGUAUUAGGAUAUUGAAUUUGAUUUUAAUAUUGUUCAUUGUUUAAUGCACCAAUUUAAUCUUUGAACUGAGCCAUGUGGCUGAGUUGGUAGAGCAUGUUACCUGCAAUGCCAGGGUUGUGGGUUCGAUUCCCAUGGGGGGACCAGUAUGAAAAUGUACGCCCUCACUACUGUAAGUUGCUCUGGAUAAGAGUGUCUACUAAAAUGUAAGAUUGAACUUGUAUUUCAUGAUUUAAAAUUGAAUUAUUAUUGCAUUCAGUUUUCUUUGUAAACUAUAUUAUUUAUAUAUUCAGUUGCAAUAUGGUAGAUAUUGCAUUCAUUGUCUGUGUAUCAAGUUUACAAACCAUCAUUUAAAGUUGAUCAAAGUGAAAUAUAAGAAUAGUUGAAUAGCCCCGUCAUAGCCCUUCUAAGGAUAGCAUUUCCAUUCCCUAUUUAAUAUUGCGACUGAUUGGGUCUCCUGCAUGUCACAAGACUGUGUUAAUUAACACACUUAGAUAAAGCCCAUAGGGAUUUGUUCAGGAAGCUAACACAAGCCUUCAAUUCUCCAGCAAGGUUCAUUGAACCACCUCGGUUACAUUUCACCCCCCAAGAUUUUCAUGGAUCCCCAAACCAUGCGAGUAACUUUGCUUGAUCUUGAAGACUUGCAUUAGUUAAACUCACUCCACCGCCUGGAGAGUCACCUCUUGUACAAUUGAAGAAGGACUUCUUUUUUUUUUAAAUAGGUCAAUGUGUUGAAAUUCUUCACAUGUGUUUUCAAGGCAGAAGUCCUGAGUUUGAGUCUCAAUGUGAGCUGAAUCAGAGGGAACCCGGUACUCGCUAAGCAGGCAGCGUGAUGCUCUUUACAAUUAUGGAAUUUCUCAUGGAAGAAGGGUGUCUCAUCCCUCCAAUCUAUGUCACGGUAACAUUGCAGCUGUUCUGGCUGGUGGUCGCCCAACAACCCUAUUAAGACCCUUUAUGUUGAUGUGUCCUUGAUUUAGGCAGUUACCUGUACUUCUGCAAGCUAGUUUCUCUAACUUGAUAUCCUGAAAUGUCUUCUUGCUAGCUAGUUAUGAUGGGAGAUUGGAAAACUAUCCGGGCUAGCUAAAGCCAACUUCAUAAUAAUAAUAAAUAUUAUUAUUUUAACGGGACAAAUCUGAGGGGGCACGUGCCCCUGUGCCCCCUAUGGGCAUGAAGCCUCUGUGAAGCAGGGGUCCUGAGUUAGAGUCUCGGUAUGAGCUGAAUCAGGGGGAGGUGGUACUCGUUGAGCAAGCAGUGUUGUCCUUUACGUGAACUUACUGACCCCUAUAGGCUUUAGCUAAGUGGGCUAACACAGUCUUGUGACAUGCAGGAGACCUGGUUUGUCAAUCAGUCGCAAGUGCAAUAUUAAAUAUGGAGUGGAAAGGCUAUGACAGUGCAUGUCAACUAUAUUCUUAUGAGGGACAGUUUUGUUUUUGUGACAAUCCCUUCUACCGCAGCCUGUGAUCAUCAUAGAUUUGAACAGAAGGCACAUUCAUGCUCCAUAGAGUCUUAGCUUUCAGCAGUGGGGUCAUAAUAGCUCAUAGCCAAACCAGUUCAAAUGCUACAGCCAAAUCCAUUGAAAAAAAUGCCACAUUGGCUUCAGAAACCACCAGCAGAUUCUGUUUACCACAGUCAGUGACUGAUUCUAUCAUUUCUCCUCUACUUUUUCUAUCUGUCAAAGUACCAUCCCACCGGGCACACACUGGUUGAAUCAACAUAAUUUCCACCUCAUUUCAAUAAAAUUGUUAACCCCAAUGUGGAAUAGACAUUGGAAUUGGUGCCUGUGCCCACUGGGAGGUUGUUAAGGAUCUGAAUGUAGAGAAGUGAAUUAGAACAUUCACCUAGCUUGAAACCCUUCCCAGACCUGAAGAUUCCCAUGUUUCUGUCAUGGCAGACCUCCUCUUCAUCUGAAGAGGAGUAAGGAUUGGACCGAGAUGCAGCUUGGUAAGUUGUCAUUUUAAUGAAAAAAACUGACCACUACAAAACAACAACCGUGCCGCUACUGAACCACUGUGCUAACAAGCAACAUAACAUAGACAAUCACACACAACCCACAAUCAAUCAAAUUUGAUUUAUAUAGCCCUUCGUACAUCAGCUGAUAUCUCAAAGUGCUGUACAGAAACCCAGCCUAAAACCCCAAACAGCAAGAAAUGCAGGUGUAGAAGCACGGUGGCUAGGAAAAACUCCCUAGAAAGGCCAAAACCUAGGAAGAAACCUAGAGAGGAACCAGGCUGUGGGGUGGCCAGUCCUCUUCUGGCUGUGCCGGGUGGAGAUUAUAACAGAACAUGGCCAAGAUGUUCAAAUGUUCAUAAAUUACCAGCAUGGUCAAAUAAUAGUAAGGCAGAACAGUUGAAACUGGAGCAGCAGCAUGGCCAGGUGGACUGGUGACAGCAAGGAGUCAUCAUGUCAGGUAGUCCUGGGGCAUGGUCCUAGGGCUCAGGUCAGUGACAAUGACAAAACAGGCUACCUAAAUAUGGCUCCCAAUCAGAGACAACGACUAACACCUGCCUCUGAUUGAGAACCAUAUCAGGCCCAAACACAGAAACAGACAAACUAGACAUCCAACAUAGAUUGCCCACUCAGAUCACACCCUGACCAAACAAAACAUAGAAACAUACAAAGCAAACUAUGGUCAGGGCGUGACAGUUUCUAGGGUUGUAAAGUACUUAAGUAAAAAUACUUUAAAGUAUUACUUAGUAGAUUUUGGGGUAUCUGUACUUUACUAUUUAUAUUUUUGACAACUUUUACUUCACUACAUUCCUAAUGAAAAUGAUGUACUUUUUACUCCAUACAUUUUCCCUGACACAAAAAAGUACUCGUUACAUUUUUGAAUGAUUAGCAGGACAAGAAAGUGCUCCAAUUCAUACACGUAUCAAGAGAACAUCCCAGGUCAUCCCUACUGCCUUUGAUCUGGGGACUCACUAAACAGAGAACAUCCCAGGUCAUCCCUAUUGCCUUUGAUCUGGGGACUCACUAAACAGAGAACAUCCCAGGUCAUCCCUACUGCCUUUGAUCUGGGGACUCACUAAACAGAGAACAUCCCAGGUCAUCCCUAUUGCCUUUGAUCUGGGGACUCACUAAACAGAGAACAUCCCAGGUCAUCCCUACUGCCUUUGAUCUGGGGACUCACUAAACAGAGAACAUCCCAGGUCAUCCCUAUUGCCUUUGAUCUGGGGACUCACUAAACAGAGAACAUCCCAGGUCAUCCCUACUGCCUCUGAUCUGGGGACUCACUAAACAAAGAACAUCCCAGGUCAUCCCUACUGCCUCUGAUCUGGAGGACUCACUAACCAGAGAACAUCCCAGGUCAUCCCUAUUGCCUCUGAUCUGGUGGACUCACUAAACAGAGAACAUCCCUGGUCAUCCCUACAGCCUCUGAUCUGGAGUACUCACUUAACAGAGAACAUCCCUGGUCAUCCCUACAGCCUCUGAUCUGGUGGACUCACUAAACAGAGAACAUCCCAGGUCAUCACUACUGCCUCUGAUCUGGAGGACUCACUAACCAGAGAACAUCCCAGGUCAUCCCUACUGCCUCUGAUCUGGGGACUCACUAAACAGAGAACAUCCCAGGUCAUCCCUACUGCCUCUGAUCUGGAGGACUCACUAACCAGAGAACAUCCCAGGUCAUCACUACUGCCUCUGAUCUGGAGGACUCACUAAACAGAGAACAUCCCAGGUCAUCCCUACUGCCUCUGAUCUGGAGGACUCACUAAACAGAGAACAUCCCAGGUCACCCCUACUGCCUCUGAUCUGGAGGACUCACUAAACAGAGAACAUCCCAGGUCACCCCUACUGCCUCUGAUCUGGAGGACUCACUAAACAAAGAACAUCCCAGGUCAUCCCUACUGCCUCUGGUCUGGAGGACUCACUAAACAGAGAUAAAUCCCAGGUCACCCCUACUGCCUCUGAUCUGGAGGACUCACUAAACAAAGAACAUCCCAGGUCAUCCCUACUGCCUCUGAUCUGGUGGACUCACUAAACAGAGUGAGUCUGAGUGCUGUAGUGUUCCCCUGGCUAUCUGUCUGGUUUGCUUAAUAUAUGCAAUUUGAAAUGAUUCAUACUUUUACAAUAUAUUUUUACUAAGUAUAUUUGAGCAAUUACAGUAUAUAAUUAAAGUAUAUUUAAAACAAAAUAGAUUCAGACUUUUACUUGAGUCAUUUUCUAUGAAGGUAUCUUUACUUUUACUCAAGUAUGACAAUUGGGUACUUUUUCCACCACUGAAUGUUUCAACAACAGAGAAACAGGACGAGGAUGAUGGCAAACAUGAGGCAAUGAGCAAGGUGGCUGUGUUUGCUACUGUUUUGCAAGAAUAAGUAGCAGCGUGGGAGUGCAGAGCCAUGUCUCAACAGGGCGGAUCUCUGACAGGGGUCGCUGACCUUAAUGGAUCUCCUAAAGGAGGUAUGAAAAGCAACUCCUUUUAAUAGUGUAUGGAGCUUGUAAACGAGCAGGCUAAGGCAGAAGAAACAUCUGAGACACACUCAACACAAUAUGAAUUGGGCUGGUGUAGCAUGAAACAUGUUUUCCUGUCACUUCAAUUGGUCCUGUCACUUCAAUUGGUCCUGUCACUUCAAUUGGUCCUAUCACUUCAAUUGGUCCUAUCACUUCAAUUGGUCCUAUCACUUCAAUUGGUCCUAUCACUUCAAUUGGUCCUAUCACUUCAAUUGGUCCUGUCACUUCAAUUGGUCCUAUCACUUCAAUUGGUCCUAACACUUCAAUUGGUCCUAUCACUUCAAUUGGUCCUAUCACUUCAGUUGGUCCUAUCACUUCAAGUGGUCCUAUCACUUCGAUUGGUCCUAUCACUUCAAGUGGUCCUAUCACUUCAAUUGGUCCUAUCACUUCAAUUGGUCCUGUCACUUCAAUUGGUCCUAUCACUUCAAUUGGUCCUAUCACUUCAGUUGCUCCUAUCACUUCAGUUGGUCCUAUCACUUCAAGUGGUCCUAUCACUUCAAGUGGUCCUGUCACUUCAAUUGGUCCUGUCACUUCAAUUGGUCCUGUCACUUCAAGUGGUCCUGUCACUUCAAUUGGUCCUGUCACUUCCAUUGGUCCUGUCACUUCAAUUGGUCCUAUCACUUCAAUUGGUCCUGUCACUUCAAUUGGUCCUGUCACUUCAACCCUAUGAGCUUCUUUUAGUGUAUUAGGGCUUUGAGGAAUGUGUUAUUUCAGUGAUCAACGUGUCUUUAUCUGCUUGGGGGGUUUAACUUCCUGUCUGGUUUUCUGGGAAACAUAUAGCCUUUCCUGUUGGAAAUAUGUACAUACAGUAAAAUACCUUAAAUCUCUGAGAUAAUCAGAUGAGAUAUGUCUUCCACUUUGACCUGUCUGCUGCACACAGACAAACACAUCCACACCUGCCUGCCUCACAACCCUCCUCUCUCUGGCAAUAACAAUGUCAGGCCAGGAGCCGUAAUCAACGGAAACAACGGAUUUAAACCGCCCACGUCUGAUGUCAUGUACCGGGAGUACCUUAGGCCAGAGUUGGGCAAUUCCACGAUUAUUAGUGAUUGCCUAACCUCUUCCAUUGAAAAAAUUCCUUGACUGACAUCACAAGUUUUAUAGGAAGUCUCCCACCCUGUUGUUGUUGUGAACCCUGGCCCUCGAUGUCCUGUAAUAAAUAACUCUCUCGUCAAAGGUCUGCCCACGUAACACAGGCAGCAUGGGGGAGACCAGCCCAUCGGUACUGUAGUUGGCCAACCAGAUCAUAGUACAAGCAUGUUAAUAAUGAUGUAAUACGUUAUAGUAUAGUGAAGACUUUAUUACAGUGGUGCUUUAUAAUGCACUUUAGAUAUGCACAGAUGGUCUGUCAUUAACAAGGUUUUUUAAACGAUGUGUGUGAUAUUGUCACGUUCUGACCUUAGUUCCUUUGUUAUGUCUUUGUUUUAGUUUGGUCAGGGCGUGAGUUGGGGUGGGUAGUCUAUGUUCUUUUUUUCUAUGAUGUGUUUAUGUGUUUGGCCUGGUAUGGUUCUCAAUCAGAGGCAGGUGUCGUUCGUUGUCUCUGAUUGAGAAUCAUACUUAGGUAGCCUUUUCCCACCUGUGUUUUGUGGGUGAUUAUUUUCUGUCUAGUGUUUUCUGCACCUUUCAGGACUGUUUCGGUUUUCGUUUAUUUCACGUUGUUAUUUUUUGUAUUUUUUUGUGUUCAGUCAAUAAACAUCAUGGACACGUACCACGCUGCGCAUUGGUCCGACAUUUCUUACUCCUCGCCAGAGGAGGACGAAGAAUAUCAUUACAGAACUACUAUAAUUGCAUGAUAUUACAUAGGAUUUUAGGUUAGUGUGUCUCUGUCCUUCAACGUGGCAAUUGACCUAAAGCAACAGAUCAACAAGUGAUUGAGUUGAUGGGUGGAUUACACAAAGGAGUAUCCGGCCUCAUGACCUGUAGUGACCUAGAAAACAUAAUCACUGUUUCUCUGUCACUGUGGCUCCAGGCGUCACAUGUAGGAUCAGCACAAAGUAUGGUUUAAAUAACAUUGAAUGCUGGAUUAAAUAGAAUUAAAAGAACUA